CAGUGACAGAAGCGACAAUAAUUGUGAAAAAUACUUCAGCAGUUAUGGACUCAUCUGUCAUUCAAAGGAAAAAAGUAGCUGUCAUUGGUGGUGGCUUGAUUGUAUCCCAAGGUAUUCCCAUGAGAGCAAGAAUGAUCCACUCUCUUUCAGGAAAAAAGUCUACAAUUCCCUAUGGGACAAAGUCUCAGUAUAUUCUUUCUGUAAGCAGAGAAAAUCUAAACAAGGAUCUAUUGACUGCUGCUGAGAAAUACCCCAAUGUGAAAAUGCACUUUAACCACAGGCUGUUGAAAUGUAAUCCAGAGGAAAGAAUGAUCACAGUGCUUGGAUCUGACAAAGUUCCCAAAGAUGUCACUUGUGACCUCAUUGUAGGAUGUGAUGGAGCCUAUUCAACUGUCAGAUCUCACCUGAUGAAGAAACCUCGCUUUGAUUACAGUCAGCAGUACAUUCCUCAUGGGUACAUGGAGUUGACUAUUCCACCUAAGAACGGAGAUUAUGCCAUGGAACCUAAUUAUCUGCAUAUUUGGCCUAGAAAUACCUUUAUGAUGAUUGCACUUCCUAACAUGAACAAAUCAUUCACAUGUACUUUGUUCAUGCCCUUUGAAGAGUUUGAAAAACUUCUAACCAGUAAUGAUGUGGUAGAUUUCUUCC
rnacentral:sRNA from 1 species